UCAAGCUUAACCCUUGGCAGGCCGAGCAAAAGUAGUCGAUAAUAUUAGAUUUUUUUUGUUGUAUUUUCUUUAUUGCAAUAUAUUUGAUUUGUACGAAGUAGUGUUUGCUAUAUAAUUUGUUUUUUGAAUUCGUGAUUUGCCGAAAAUGACCCUGAGAUAGUUCAAAAUCAACUAUAAUUCACUUUUUUCAAUUUGCGAUUUAUCAAGAAAUUAGUGGAAUCAACUAUAAUUUACUUUUUUCAAUUUGCGAUUUAUCAGUAGAUUAGUAAAUCAUGUAAUAGUGGUAUGAAGUAUAAGCUUUGACUUCACAUUAAAAAGUCAAAUAUUUAUUUAGCUUAUCAUAUUGAUUUAAAAUUGAAACUUAACUGAAUCUAACAUCUACAUUGAUUUUACCAAAAAAAAUAUAUUUUAAAAUCGAGUCAAAUUCAUUAUCGUAUCGUUUUAAAUAUCUAUCGGUUGCAAAUCGUUGGAGACAGACGGUAGUACAUAAUAGUGAGCGUGAAAUAUGGUUUUUUCUAGUGCCAUAUCAGAGAUCAGGGAGGGAGAUAUACCUCAAACUUUUCGCAUCCCCAAUUCUCCCAUCCCUCGUUAUCCUCCUAUGAUCUUCAGAUGUCCAUACAGAUUCAUUCGUUAAAUCCUCUGCAUUUUCAGGCAUUAUUGCUUCAUCAUGCUUGAACUAUUUUUAAGCUUUCGAAUUUCUAGUGUUCUGAAAUUCUAUGUGUGUGAUUGUGUCUGUGUUUUGGUGGAAUCAUUACACUUACCACGGUAACAGGUUAAAAAAAUCCUGACUUGAAGCUAAUAAGUCAUGGAAGAAAAUCAACUUGGUGUGUCACAAGCAACACGGUCUUGUCAGCAAGCGCUUCCAUAACAUAUUCCUGUCAUAAUGUACAAAUUAAGAUGAUGUGGGAAGUGUAGAAUUUAUUUUCCAAGGGUCAAGAGUUACAUUAAAGAGGCUUGUGGCGGUGUGUGUGUCGACAGCACUGAAUGGAUCAUCUAAAAGAUAAAGGUCAGCAUCUUGGUACAAUGCACGUGCAAGUUGAAUUCGUUGCUUCUGGCCACCACUUAGAUUAACUCCUCACUCCCCAAUUUCAGUCAAGUCACUGUAAGGAAGAAGUUCUAGGUCUUUAACCAAUGAACAUUUCUGGAGAGUUUCUUGGUAUCUAUGAUCGUCCAUGGCUGACCCAAAAAGGAUAUUUUCUCGUAUUGUCCCUGUUUGGAUCCAAGCUGUCUGUGAAACAUAAGCAAUCCUCCCAUAAACUUCCACCUGUAAGAGAAAACAUUCAUGUAUAGAAUUAUACUGUCAUGUAGUAUAUAGAUUUUCAGCAGGACUAUAUGAAUAAAUAGGAUUGUCCAUGGAACUUACAACUCCUUCUAUAUAUGGAACUUCUCCAAGCAUAGCUGCUAACAAUGUUGAUUUUCCUGAGCCAACUUCACCACAUAUAGCUACCUUUUCACCAGGAUGAACAUCUAGAUUUAUGUUUCUCAGCGUUGGUUUUGUGGGAUUCAAAUCCCAUGAAAGAUUUCCUUUUUUUAUCAGAAUUGCAUGAUUUGUGCUGCUCAUACUGCUCUUCAUUCUGAUAUUUUCACUCUGGAGCUCUGGUGCUGCAAGAAACAUCACAAUUCGUGCAAAUGCAACUCUGGCUUGAAUCACUACACCAAUGACAUCAGGGAUGGUCUUGAUUGGAACUUGCGCCAGUCUCAAAGUGGCGAGAAAGGUGAAAACAUUGCUGGCAUUUAGAGGAAUGUUGAGAAAAUAACAUGUCCCAAACGUUGCAGCUGAGAUCAAUACAGGUGAUGCCCAGUACAGACAACAAUUGUAUCCUUUUUGUAACUGAACUGCUGAUAAUCGUUUACAUUCUACUUUUCUCGAUGCCUCGACUACAUUCUUGAAGCGAGUUUCCCAGGCAUAUAACCUUCAUGUUCACAAGAGCUUCUGAGCAAGACUUAAGUCUAUCAUCUUGAGCAAACAUCAACUUACUUUGGAACUUGUGCUGUAAUUUGGCAACAGGAGCAUUACAAAGCACUGUCAAAACAAUUACUACUAGUGAUGCAAUGGUUGACAGUCCGAUUGCAUUUAUCAUUAUAGCUAAUGCAAAACAAAGCUGGAGGCUUGUAGUCCAAAUCUGAUGAAACCAAAAAGGGAAUUCUCCAAUCCUCACUGAGCGUGCUCCUGACUUUCAGACCAACCAAUCUGCUCCGAAAGUACCAUUGCCUUUGUGACAAAGAUUCUAUGAUUUUGGAAAGGAAAAUUGAAAUGGCCAGAAGAUUGCCUUUAUAUAUGAAAUCUUCUCUACCAUCAGCAACCUCAAUGAAUGAAUUCAGCAAUAUUGGUCCAGCUGACACCGCAAGUAUCGUCAAUAGCGCGAAGAGCCCUGAAAUCAGAAUCUCCCUCCUAUGGCAUGCAACUAUAGCCCGCAAGAUCGAGGAUUCUGACGGCAAUUCAUCAGAUUGUUUAUAUUUAUCCAAUUGAUUGAAAAACUAUCGAGUUUCUGGGAUGAACUUUUGGAAAUGAAGUCAAAUAAGAGGAUUGCUAGAAGUACUAAAUCAAAGCAAACCAUGUAAGCAUGGUUGAUACAUGAAGAAGGAUGAGUGACAAAUACAAACUGACGA